GCAAUACUUAGUGGCAGACGGGUGAGUAACAUGUGGGUAUCUACCCUUUGGCCUGGAAUAACACGAGGAAACUUGUGCUAAUACCGGAUAAGUCUUUACGGAGAAAGCUUUAUGCACCAUUGGAUGAGCCCGCACUUGAUUAGUUUGUUGGUAGGGUAAUGGCCUACCAAGACUAUGAUCAAUAGCUGAUUUGAGAGGAUGAUCAGCCACAUUGGGACUGAGACACGGCCCAAACUCCUACGGGAGGCAGCAGUGGGGAAUCUUGCACAAUGGAGGAAACUCUGAUGCAGCGAUGCCGCGUGAGUGAAGAAGGCCUUUGGGUUGUAAAGCUCUUUCGUCGGGGAAGAAAAUGACUGUACCCGAAUAAGAAGGUCCGGCUAACUUCGUGCCAGCAGCCGCGGUAAUACGAAGGGACCUAGCGUAGUUCGGAAUUACUGGGCUUAAAGAGUUCGUAGGUGGUUGAAAAAGUUAGUGGUGAAAUCCCAGAGCUUAACUCUGGAACUGCCAUUAAAACUUUUCAGCUAGAGUAUGAUAGAGGAAAGCAGAAUUUCUAGUGUAGAGGUGAAAUUCGUAGAUAUUAGAAAGAAUACCAAUUGCGAAGGCAGCUUUCUGGAUCAUUACUGACACUGAGGAACGAAAGCAUGGGUAGCGAAGAGGAUUAGAUACCCUCGUAGUCCAUGCCGUAAACGAUGUGUGUUAGACGUUGGAAAUUUAUUUUCAGUGUCGCAGGGAAACCGAUAAACACACCGCCUGAGGAGUACGACCGCAAGGUUAAAACUCAAAUGAAUUGACGGGGACCCGCACAAGUAGUGGAGCAU
rnacentral:rRNA from 1 species